rnacentral:rRNA from 1 species
GACGAACGCUGGCGGCGUGCUUAACACAUGCAAGUCGAACGGUAAGGCCCUUCGGGGUACACGAGUGGCGAACGGGUGAGUAACACGUGGGUGAUCUGCCCUGCACUUCGGGAUAAGCCUGGGAAACUGGGUCUAAUACCGGAUAGGACCAUGCGCUUCGCGGUGUGUGGUGGAAAGCUUUUGCGGUGUGGGGUGGGCCCGCGGCCUAUCAGCUUGUUGGUGGGGGGAUGGCCUACCAAGGCGCCGACGGUAGCCGGCCGGAGAGGGUGACCGGCCACACUGGGACGUAGGUACGGCCCAGACUCCUACGGGAGGCAGCAGUGGGGAAUAUUGCACAAUGGGCGCAAGCCUGAUGCAGCGACGCCGCGUGAGGGAUGACGGCCUUCGGGUUGUAAACCUCUUUCAGCACCGACGAAGCGCAAGUGACGGUAGGUGCAGAAGAAGGACCGGCCAACUACGUGCCAGCCGCCGCCGUAA